rnacentral:rRNA from 1 species
GGUCGUAAACCGCUGUGGACAGGGAAGAAUAUUUAAGCUUCGGCUUAUAUAAGACGGUACCUGUCUAGAAAGCAGUUGCUAAUCUGGUGCCAGAAGCCUCGGUCAUACCAGAGCUGCAAGCGUUAUCCGGAGUCAUUGGGCGUAAAGGGUUAGGUAGGCGGUUUGUUUCGUCGGUGGUUAAAUCUCCCAGCUCAACUGGGAAAAUGCUUCCGAUACGGGCAGACUGGAACAUCAUAGGGGCAAGCGGAACUGCACAAGUAGGGGUAAAAUCCGUUGAUAUGUGCAGGAACACCGAAGGCGAAGGCAGCUUGCUGGGUGAUUGUUGACGCUGAACUACGAAAGCUAGGGGAGCGAAACGGAUUAGAUACCCGUGUAGUCCUAGCCGUAAACGAUGGAUACUAGCUCGAUGUGUUUACAUGUCGGGCGUAAGCUAACGCGUUAAGUAUCCCGCCUGGGGAGUACGAUCGCAAGAUUAAAACUCAAGGGAAUUGGCGGGGGCUCGCACAAGCGGUGGAGCGCAUUGUUUAAUUGGAUGCUACGCCAAGAACCUUACCAGGCCUUGACAUUCUUUUCUUAAUGCUCAUUUAGAAACAUUUGAGAACCUUGAGUAAAAUCGAGGAGGAUAGAACAGGUGUUGCACGGCUGUCGUCAGCUCGUCUCGUGAGAGGUAGGGUUAAGUCCUACAAGCGAGCGCAACCCU